AUUGAACGCUGGCGGCAUGCUUUACACAUGCAAGUCGGACGGCAGCACAGAGAAGCUUGCUUCUUGGGUGGCGAGUGGCGAACGGGUGAGUAACAUAUCGGAACGUACCGAGCAGUGGGGGAUAACUAAUCGAAAGAUUAGCUAAUACCGCAUAUCUUCUGAGGAAGAAAGCAGGGGACCAUUUGGCCUUGCGCUUUUUGAGCGGCCGAUAUCUGAUUAGCUAGUUGGUGGGGUAAAGGCCUACCAAGGCGACGAUCAGUAGCGGGUCUGAGAGGAGGAUCAGCCAGACUAGAAGUGAGACACGGCCCAGACUCCUACGGGAGGCAGCAGUGGGGAAUUUUGGACAAUGGGCGCAAGCCUGAUCCAGCCAGGCCGAGUGUAAGAAGAAGGCCUUAGGGUUGUAAAGGACUUUUGUCAGGGAAGAAAAGGGCGGGGUUAAUACCCAUGUCUGAUGACGGUACCUGAAGAAUAAGCACCGGCUAACUACGUG
rnacentral:rRNA from 1 species